UGUAGUCAUAUGCCUGUCUCAACACACCAAGCCAUGCAUGUCUAAGUAUAAACGAAUUCAUACUGUGAAACUGCGAAUGGCUCAUUAAAUCAGUUAUAGUUUAUUUGAUGGUCUCUUGCUACACGGAUAACUGUGGUAAUUCUAGAGCUAACCCACCUGAAAAGCCCCGACUUCUCGAAGGCGUGUACUCCUUAGAUAAAAAACCAAUGGGUUUCGGCCCUCUAUGGUGAAUCAUAAUAACUUCUC
rnacentral:rRNA from 1 species